CAACAGAGCUACUGAUUUUAAUAUCCUGUCAAAGAAGCAGCAUCCUGGUGAAACUCCACGGCUUUCCUUUACUUAAUUAAGUGAAAAGAAAAGCUGCGUUGACCUUGAUGAAUCCUCACCUGUAGUUCUGAGACAUCUAAAUAUGUCAGACCUCUGGUGCAUGCCAUAAUCCUGCCCAGGGAUAUGGGCUUGUUUCUCUCCCAUCACAGACUCCCCCCAUGUGGUGGAUGCCAUCUGAACACCCCUCACCCAAGAGCCUGUUUGUCUAAAGUCCUGAUAGUCUAGACUUGUGAGAAGGAGGCACAGAGCCAUGGAGAGAGUCUCUUCUUUUGGCCAAUGACUGGUGAAGUCUGGCCACAAGCAUUUAUUCUUGGUAUCCAGUUCUCUAUCUUUGCCAAGCUCCUGUGGAUCAUGAGGUUGUCCAGGUGUGGGGGAAGCAGCCACCAUUCAACCUGCCACUUCUCUCCAGGCUUGCCCUAAUCUGAUCCUUGGGGGCAGAGCAUUCUCUUAUUUGGAGGUUGGGAAGUGAGUUCAUGCUUGGUCCAGGUCCUUCUUCCUUAUAGGGCGAGUGAUCCUCCCCUGUUCCAGUGCACAGUGAGCUUCUAGACAUUGCUUGGGCAUGCAUGUCAUAUGAUACCUGGCCAACCCCAGUGCUCCCAAUGGGAAGAACAGGGUCUCCCCCAUUUUGCCGCACAAGAAAGAUGUGUGCAAAUCAUCUGCCUACAUCAGCUGUUGGGAGGGGCCUGCUGGCCAUGGGAGAUCAAUGCCCACUACUAGAGCUGACCUUGCUCUGUCUCUUCUCUUUGUGAUUUCCAACCAGUGCUUGUGCAUGUUGCAUCUUCCAUGGAGACUGUGAUACCAUGGUACCAUGGAGAGGGCAGAAGUGUCUGGAAUCUUACUCUUGAGGACUGAUUAUCUUUGCCGUCCUCCAUGUGGGAGACCUUUUCCCCUGGUGGUACCCCGGAGUUGACUCGACAAAGUGGUACCAUGGAUUGUCAAUAGUCAUGCAGGCAAGCCACAUGACUAGUGUGUAUAUUAACCACUGGAUUUCGAGAUGGUCAAGUCCAUGCAAGAGCAAAUGGGUUUAAUGUUGGAAUCAUUCCAAGG